rnacentral:lncRNA from 1 species
CAAGAACUUGGAACCUCAGUACAGUUUGGCUUAAAUAAUGAUCCACAAGCAGGGAAGAAUGUCCAAAAUAGCUGACCUUCUACUUCUGGAUCACCUAUCAUGGAUAGUUUCUCUCUCCUAAAAUGAUUAAAUUGACUUCCACACAGGCAUGAUGUGAAAUCUUUAAAAAUGUUCUUGUAAUGAAAUGCUGGCAGGCAUGGAAGGAAGCGUGUGCUCCAAUAACACUGCAAAAUGGAGGCAGAGGUCUCUCACCAACAACAGACAUUGAAAACAACCAGCUCAACCCUUCCAGACAAGAAAGUAGGGCUUUUAAAUUAGGCAAUAAUUCUGGAUUUCAUCAACCUACUUUGCCACUUGCAGAGGCUGCAUUUUGAUACCCAAGUGUUUGCUAUCCUAUAUUUAUUCUUUCUGAUUGAUGGUUGGUGAAGUUGGGUUUGUUUGAAUGCCUGGAAAACGGGGGCGAAGGAACUAGAGCUCAGGGAAGAUUAAGUUUAAACUGGAUUCUAAUGGAUUCAGGGGCUGAAUUUCAGAUUGGUCAGCCUACUGCCAAAAAGUUUCUGAUGCAAAUGAAUUUGAUAGCUGCUACUGACGUUCUUCCAGUUACGUUCUUCCAGCAGAAGUGGUGUCUGGUAAGGCAGUUUGCAGAUGCUCCCCAUGAAGCAAUUCCUGAAUUAAUCCAGCAGGUCUCAAACUGUAGAAACACAGGAUUUUUGAACCUUUUCUUCAGCAUGAUGCCAAUGAAGAGAACGCAUGGAGAUGCACUAUCCCAAGAAUUUGAUGAAUGAAUGAAGUGAAAAUCAUGGAUCAUCAGCAUUUUCCAUGCUCUGAAGCGGUAUGAGGCAAAGUUAUAAGCUUUUCAUACGUGGAUUUUGGAGUUGUUUUCAUGUUUGGGGGAGUAAAUACAAAGGCUCUGGGAUCAGAUUGUUUCUGCUCAGCGGAAUGCUCAUUCUGGGGCAAAGCAAUUACCAGAAGCUGGACUGCAGGCAGCAAAAAUCAGAUGGCCUGCAAUACACAGUCUGGAGCUGGCUAAAAAGAUAACAUGACUGACAUAAGAAAUCUGAUCCCUGAUCUUCGUUAUGUGUUAGCAGCAAAAAUAGUGUUAUUUUUUCUAGAAGAGUUUGUUCUGGCUCUGCCUUUAUACCUGGCAGAGAGGCAGUAACUCCGAGGCACAAAUCAGAAACUCCCACACACAGCCCUUGAUUGCUUCUUUUUCAACUCACCAUGCAACUGCCAUAUGUGAAUCUAGCAAGUGACACUGCCUAAUGUAAAGCACUAUCACUUUCCUCAAAGUACAAGCUUAAAUAGACUGUAUGAUUGUGUAAAUGUAAUCAAUAGCAAGUACAGAAUGUGAAGAAGGAUGGACUUCUAAUAGGACAAGAGCUCUCUUACUAAUAACAAAUGCUAGUUACUGGUAUGGGUGGCAAAAGGCCAAGAAUUUAGACGUCACAGAAACCUGGAUUCCUGCAUGUGCAAAAUAAAACCUAGCGAACAAAGGGUAUAUCA